rnacentral:rRNA from 1 species
CGUAGGGGGCAAGCGUUGUCCGGAUUUACUGGGCGUAAAGAGCGUGUAGGCGGCCAGGCAGGUCUGUUGUGAAAACUGGAGGCUCAACUUCCAGACGUCGACAGAAACCGCUUGGCUAGAGUCCGGAAGAGGAGAGUGGAAUUCCUGGUGUAGCGGUGAAAUGCGCAGAUAUCAGGAAGAACACCUAUGGCGAAGGCAGCUCUCUGGGACGGUACUGACGCUGAGACGCGAAAGCGUGGGGAGCGAACAGGAUUAGAUACCCUGGUAGUCCACGCCGUAAACGAUGGGUGCUAGGUGUGGGGGGUGUCGACUCCCUCCGUGCCGCAGCUAACGCAUUAAGCACCCCGCCUGGGGAGUACGGCCGCAAGGCUA